AUGAACCAUAAGCAUGUGACAGCAGAUACGUGUGAGCUUGCUUUCUGAAUGUGGACACACGUGAAGGACGUCCAGUCAUCCGACAGCUUGUCGCAGAGAGCAGGACGUCUUUGACUGAAGGAACCCACAGUGGAUAUUUGGAACGGCUAAAACAACUUGAACCCUCUGACUUGAGGUUGAACCUGUCGGGGCGGAACAACUCGCCCACGUAUCAGUGUGAAGCUGCGUGUUGAAUCAUUUACUGCAGCUUCCUCACAAAGUACAUGUUGUUACAUGAAGGAUUCUACUUCCUCAUCACAUGGCACCUUGAACCCUCUGGCUCCUACAUCUGCUGUGCAAAGGAUUGUGGCUGGUGGAGUUGUUCAGGUAACAGGUGAAGUUGACCUCCACCCACUGAGGUGCUGAUGUCAUCACCUGAUACACUGAUGGUUCCUCAGUGAUCACCUGACCUUUUUAUCCACAUGUGGACCAACAAAUGUCCCUCUUACCUUGUUUCCUAAAUGAACAUGUCUUAGAGUCUAAGAGCCUUUUGAUGAGUCGGGUAUUUUUCUGUCAAAGUUUGACCCCCAAAUGUCUCUCUGAAAAAGACAAGAAAGGACACAGAGAAAGGUGACUUGUGGAAUUGAAUGUUGUGAAUUAUUUGUUAGUUUUUUUAAUUGUUGUGUACACUAGUACACAUGUACAUAAGUCUACGUAUAAGUACUUCUUAUAUUUCCAAGAAAAGAUCAAACUUCAUCAAGAAAGACUUUGUUUUCCAGCAAAUGAGUCCAAACGUAUCGAGUGCAAAUAAAACCAAUAUAAACCACCAAGACGAUCAACAAGUAAGAGUCGAGGGUGCGCUGGAAUCCGCAAGGUUGGCGGUUCAACCCCGGCUGCUCCAUGUCCCAUGCUGAAGUGUCCCUGAGCAAGACACAUGACCCCUAAAAGCCAGGAGUUAAAAAUGUAAUCGCUUUGGAUAAAAGCAUCAGCUAAAUGACCUGUAAUGAAGCUUCAGCAUGUUGAGAGAAUAACAUCAUAUUUAUUCCACCUUCAUCUGCAGCUUGAGUCACUUUAUACAUUUAGAGUUUUACGUACGUUGAGUUGAUGAAUAACGGUUUUCAAUCAGAAAGGUUUCAGCAUAUAAUAAAUAAUGUUUGUGUAUUAGUAAGAAUAUUGAGGUUUGGACCAAACAAACUUUGCAUACGUGUCACUUUGGGGUAAUUGUGACACCAUUUCUCACCACAUAGAGGACACAUUAGAGAGAGACAGUGAUGGUGACUAAAACAGAGCAAACAGAGAAUCUUUGAAAUUCAAUUCAAAUACGUGUAUAUGUCAUAUAUAUAUAUAUAUAUAUAUAUAUAUA
ensembl:lncRNA